rnacentral:rRNA from 1 species
UACGUAGGGGGCAAGCGUUGUCCGGAUUUAUUGGGCGUAAAGAGCGUGUAGGCGGCCUGAAAGGUCAGCUGUGAAAACUCGAGGCUCAACCUCGAGACGUCGGUUGAAACCAUCUGGCUAGAGUCCGGAAGAGGAGUGUGGAAUUCCCGGUGUAGCGGUGAAAUGCGCAGAUAUCAGGAGGAACACCAGAGGCGAAGGCGGCUAGCUGGACAGUAACUGACACUCAACUACGAAAGCGUGGGGAGCAAACAGG